GACGAACGCUGGCGGCGUGCUUAACACAUGCAAGUCGAACGGAAAGGCCCUGCUUGCAGGGUACUCGAGUGGCGAACGGGUGAGUAACACGUGGGUGAUCUGCCCUGCACUUCGGGAUAAGCCUGGGAAACUGGGUCUAAUACCGGAUAGGAGCCAUUUUUAGUGUGAUGGUUGGAAAGUUUUUUCGGUGUAGGAUGAGCUCGCGGCCUAUCAGCUUGUUGGUGGGGUAAUGGCCUACCAAGGCGGCGACGGGUAGCCGGCCUGAGAGGGUGGACGGCCACAUUGGGACUGAGAUACGGCCCAGACUCCUACGGGAGGCAGCAGUGGGGAAUAUUGCACAAUGGGCGCAAGCCUGAUGCAGCGACGCCGCGGGGGGGAUGACGGCCUUCGUGUUGUAAACUCCUUUCGCUAGGGACGAAGCUUUUUGUGACGGUACCUAGAUAAGAAGCACCGGCUAACUACGUG
rnacentral:rRNA from 1 species